rnacentral:rRNA from 1 species
UGGCAAGCCCGAAGCGGAGAAGAAUUCUUUCGGAAUCUUUGAGAAGCGGCGUACGGGUGCGGAACACGUGUGCAACCUGCCUUUAUCAGGGGGAUAGCCUUUCGAAAGGAAGAUUAAUACCCCAUAAUAUAAUGAACGGCAUCGUUUAUUAUUGAAAACUCCGGUGGAUAGAGAUGGGCACGCGCAAGAUUAGAUAGUUGGUAGGGUAACGGCCUACCAAGUCAAUGAUCUUUAGGGGGCCUGAGAGGGUGAUCCCCCACACUGGUACUGAGACACGGACCAGACUCCUACGGGAGGCAGCAGUGAGGAAUAUUGGACAAUGGGUGAGAGCCUGAUCCAGCCAUCCCGCGUGAAGGACGACGGCCCUAUGGGUUGUAAACUUCUUUUGUAUAGGGAUAAACCUUUCCACGUGUGGAAAGCUGAAGGUACUAUACGAAUAAGCACCGGCUAACUCCGUGCCAGCAGCCGCGGUAAUACGGAGGGUGCAAGCGUUAUCCGGAUUUAUUGGGUUUAAAGGGUCCGUAGGCGGAUCUGUAAGUCAGUGGUGAAAUCUCACAGCUUAACUGUGAAACUGCCAUUGAUACUGCAGGUCUUGAGUAAAGUAGAAGUGGCUGGAAUAAGUAGUGUAGCGGUGAAAUGCAUAGAUAUUACUUA